GUUGAUCUUCCUUCAAAACAGCCAGUAAAAGAGUCACACGAUAAUGUCAUCACUACGACACGGCAUUAGAUCUGGCUUUUGUUCACACAGCGCUUGUCCCGGGAUUGAACCCAGCAAUGUUAGUACGUCCCCGACCCGAGUUCAAUGCUGGAAUCAAUCUCGGGAUGUGUUUGCUUUCACACAGAAGUAAUGUAGUCGGAGCACGCGGGCGCACUUCCGGAAAAAUCGGCUGAAAAAAAUUCCAAAGACCGGCCGAUUACCAAUUGCGUAUUUAAAGCAAAAACCGUCUGGUUUCCAAUUUAUGGCCGGUCAAUUGGUGCAUCCCUAAUAUUUUUAUGAAAAUGCGAGAGAUUUCUGAACCUCCAUAAAGGCUGCAAUGCAACUGAAAUGUUCCCAGAGUCAUAGUAAGGACAUCAGUAAAACAGUCCAUGUGGCAUCAAUGCUUCAACCACACUUUUACAAAGGUACAAGAAUACAUUUUGUGCAAAGAAAACAAAAAUAGCGACUUUAAUCAACAAUUCUUCUCCAAAUCACAUAUUCUGCCAUUAUGGACAGUAACAAGAGGCAUGAACAUUGCUUUCCUCUGCGUGUAAUCAAGGCUCAGUGCAGGCGUGUUGUAGGUCAGCAGCACCAUGUGCAUGAAUUAUUUACGUGCUGUUGAUAAUGGUGGAAGAUGCGAUUUGGAGAAGAAUUGUUGAAUAAAGUCGCUGUUUUAAUUUUGUUUGCACAAAAAAGUAUUUUUGUUUACUUUGUAAAAUUAUGGUUGAACCACUGGUGUCACAUGGACUGUUUUACUGAUGUCCUUACUAUGUUUCUGGGUCUGGGAACAUUCCAGUUCUGUUGUUAACCAUACAGGGUCCAGAUGUGUAACAUUUUCCACUGUAAUGUUUGUUAGAAUCCCAUCUUGACUGCUUGCCUGGAUUUCCCAUAAGAAGAUGAAUGACUGACUUUUUUUCAUGUAAUUUUAGAAAAAAAAAACAAAGGCUAAAUUUUGUUGUUUUCAUCUUCAGACUAAUGAAAUUGAAGUAUCCAAAUGAAGACCCUAGCAGUAUGGAGUAUAUGGAUAGAGACGUUGCCGGCAAUCAGGAGGUGAUCCAGAAGACUCGUGGGAAUCUAUUUGAAGCUGCAUCAUUGAAGACAGUCCAGCAGAAGUUGGAGUUUUAAAGGAUAAAGUUCUUCAGGACCUAUAGCAGUUUACAGUCUGUAAAACCAUGUUGCUGGGACUGAUUUAUGGACUGAACUUGAGCAACCCUCCUGAACUCAGGUACACAUUUGGAAUACUGAAGAAGUUAUUUCUGGAGCCACUUCCUGUUCCUGGAAUAAGGUUUGAUUGGUUGCCCAUGAAUGCCAAUUAGAAUUGUAUUUGCUAUUUUGUGUAAUUUUGUAAUGUGGUUUAAACUGUAUUUUACUGUGUGUAAUUAUUUAUUGCUUGUUUAACAAAUACACUUUGAUCAUUUGU